rnacentral:rRNA from 1 species
GGGCCCGCACAAGCGGUGGAUUAUGUGGAUUAAUUCGAUGCAACGCGAAAAACCUUACCUGGCCUUGACAUGUACCGAAUUUAGCAGAGAUGCUUUAGUGCUCGUAAGAGAACGGUAACACAGGUGCUGCAUGGCUGUCGUCAGCUCGUGUCGUGAGAUGUUGGUUAAGUCCCGCAACGAGCGCAACCCUUGCCAUUAAUUGCCAUCAUUUAGUUGGGCACUUUAAUGGGACUGCCGGUGACAAACCGGAGGAAGGUGGGGAUGACGUCAAGUCCUCAUGGCCCUUAUGGCCAGGGCUUCACACGUGCUACAAUGGCGGUGACAGUGGGUUGCUACCUCGCGAGAGGAAGCU